rnacentral:lncRNA from 1 species
AAAAAUUUAGUCUCUCCGUCUCUUCCUUUCUUACUAGCCACAGGGUAGUAGGCCAAAUAAUUGAUGCUCUCCGUCUCUUCCUUUUGUUAUUAGCCACAUAGUCUGUGCAAGUGCUAUGGUCCCCUUACACAAACCAUCAAUCAAUCAGUCUCGUCUCAAUGUCUCCCCUCCCUCUGAAGGUCCAUUUCAUUCCAUCACUGCAAAUAAACCCCUUGCCCUCAGAAACAGGUUAAAUGUUCCAUGGAAACUUCAAAAUGACCAGGACGAGAAGACUAAUGAUACACUCUAACGCUUCCUUGGUCCCCCAUAGACGAGUGGACCACACACUGCUGGAGAGGGCAUUCCGUCCUUCCUUGGUCCCCCAUAGACGAGUGGACCACACACUGCUGGAGAGGGCAUUCCGUCGCUGUAAGUAUCUUAAGAAAGGGUACGGGCUCGUCUGAAUUACCCAAAAAGGCAAAAAAAAAAACUUAAAAUUGUUAUAUGUGGAGUUUUUCUUUGUAUGAAAGCAAUGUUUUAAAUAAAGAAAUUUGUUUCAUGCGGGCCGCUGCAUUUCUAUAUAUGUGGUAUAAAAAGUUUAAAGCCUUCAUUUUAAAGAUGGAUGCAAGUAAGUGUUCUAUUUAAAAACCAUAGAAACUAAUCGUUCAAAUGUUUUCUUACCAAAAUUAUUUUUUGAAUUUUAAAAUUUGUUUUUUUUUUCUUAUUCCUAAUCUUUAUAUUGUACAUACCUUUAAAAAUUAAAUCUUAAAAUCCCUCUCAAAAAUAGAUUUAUCAAGAGACCUGCAUUUCUAUAUAUACGGGCUUGGCUGCAUAGAAACCCGAUCCUUUGGAGAAAACGUGGAGCGAGCUCAAGCCGUUUUCAGGGGUACCAACUUCCUUUCUUUUUUUCUUCUUUCCUUUCUUUUCUUUUUUAUUUUGGUUGCAUUAAAAAAAGUCCGUGAGAACUAGUGAGUCGGCUUUAGUAACUCCAAGGACCAGUAGCGAUGGGUUUGACCAACAAAUCUAGAUUUUAAAACACCGUUGGAAAGUAUUUGGUAGUUGAAAAAUUUAUCAAAAAUACCUAUUAAAGACGCACUAUUUAUCAUUUUACACAUUUACAACUAUUUCAACUCAUUCAUGUAUUAGGUAUUUUGAUUUAAAUCAAACUAUAUGGAUAAAAUAUUAUUUAGUUAAACUUUUCAAACCACACCCUUGUUUAUAUUCUGCACGAAUAACGGGCCAUCAGCCGUCCAACUUAAUGUGAACAGUAGAUCAGGGAUAAAAAUUGGUCAAUAUUCCCCCAAUCAGCACAAAAAGACACACCGCACCCCGGAACUUUGAUAGAAUCAGUCUAUAUCUAUGUAGAAUUUAAAAUUAUCAAGCGAAAGGGUGUGGCUUGAUUAGGGCUGAAGCCCUAAUCAAUUAAAGCAAGGCGUACCUUUAAAUAGUGCUGAAAAAAUGUUAUUCUAGUAUCAAAAAUCUUUAUGAUGGCCUAAACAUGAUACACUAAAUCAAAAAAAAAGGUUGGGUUAUCCAAAACAUGUCUUUAUGUAAUCAAGAAAAAAAUUGGGUUAUCUAAAACAUGACUAUGUAAUCAAGAAAAAGGUUAGGCUAUGAAUUGGUUUCACGGGAAGUUGCUAAACACUGAUUAAGGUGAGGAGUUGUUUUCACAUGCAAUGAGCUUUUCUUUCAUAAGGAUGUAUUUUCACGUGUAUUUUAUUGAACCAAACAUAUGUAACGUAAAUCAAGAUGAUCAUUCAAACCUUAUUACGCGUGAAUCAAACUUACCCUAAGCUUUCCAUGUGGGGUUGAGUAGGCACAGGUAGGGGUGAACAUAGUGUACAUAGAAACCAACACAAAUUUGUGUCCAUGAGUACACAACUGUCUUGUAUGGAAAUUUACUCAAAAAUCGAAAUAGAUAUACACAACUACGCAUCUUUUUUUUUUUAUAAAUCAUGAUCAUCAUUCAAACCUUAUCCCUUUCCGUUUUUACAAAUAAAAUAUAAAAAGUAUACAAAAGAGACAAUUUACUUUUUUUUGUAUAAAUGAUAUAAGGAAGUCACAAUCAUUCUUGCCUAUUGAAAUACAAAUUGGUUGAUCGUACGUCAUUGGCAGGAUUCAAAGUUUUAAAAAAAAGUUAUUAAAAUUUGUGACACAUCCUACGCUGAUCAAUUUGAAAUUGGAUGAGCAUGUUCGUGACAUCUUUAUAAUAAGGACCUGGUUUUUAUGCGGCCAAGCCCGCAUGUGUAGAAAUGCGAGCCUCUAAAUAGAUAUGUUUUUUAUAUGGAUUUUAAGUCUUAAUUUUUAGAGACAUGUAAUUUCUAACAUGGAGAUCAUGAAUAUAAAAAAAAUCAAUAUAUUUUAAAAAUUAAAAUAAUAAUUCUAGUAAAAAAACACUUAAACAGUUGGGUUCCAUUUAAAAACAAUGAAAUACCUAAUUGCAUCCUUUUUUUCGUUGGAUGCUUUACACUUUCUCGCCGUUCAGCAUGAAACAAUUUUUCUUAUAAUAAGGACAAAUAGUAUCUCAACAAUAUCCAGUGGAACAGAUGGCGGUCAAAUGAACAUGUUAGCUUAAACUUAGCCCAUCUAGAGUCCCUUCACGGGUCCACAUCGAUUCGUGAAUAUAACCAUUUUCUCAUGUGCGGACAAUCCAGGAGCCACGUUUUGGAAGCCCCCUCGAGAGCGUUCACAUGGGCGAGUGAAAUAAUAAAAAAUGGGUUCCCUCCGCGGAUUGUCUAUUAUUACAUGAAAAAAGUUUGUAUGAGGCUGCAACCUUAAAAUGUAGAACUACACAUGCACCUCAAAAAUCUACCAAAAAAAAGUUGUUUUAAUAUUGAAAAACCUUUUAAUUGAUCAUCUUGACAUAGAGACGUAUGAAUAUAAAACAAAAAAAAUGAUUUUGAGUUUCAUAAAUAGUGCAUAUUGCAACACAGAAAAACGAUUUUUAGAUUUUCAAAUGUUUAUAAAUCUACUUGAUUUUAACCACUUUAAAAUUUAAACUUUUAUAAUUAGAUAUAAAAACUGAUUUUCAAUUAAUUCUAAAACAAAUUUACACCAAAAUUAUAUGUUAUGAUAAAAUUUGGAUGUGCGCCUUAAUUGGAUUGUUUAAAGUUGUAACCCUUUGGAAACCGCACCCAUAUACUAUUGGUGUAUAUUUCCUCUUAAAACAGCAAGUCAUCGUUUUUUUUGUGGGUAAUUAGGGGAAAUUUAUGUAAUGACCAGUUUUUAUACCAUUAUAAUAAAAUGAUCCAAAAAUAAGCUGUUAUUAUUUAAAAAGUUAGAUCUUUAAAUUUUUUAAUAUAUUUUUUUUAAUUUGUUCCACAUUCGAUUUUUCAAACCUCAAACCGAUUUCAAACCGAUAGAAAAUCAAAACCCGGAAAACAAAAAUAUCAACGCCAUUUCUUCUUCGCCCGCCCUCUCCCCUCUUCCUCUGCAACGAGUCUCUCUCUUUAUCCAUGCAACUUCGAAAGUUAAUAGGGCCACAAUAUGGACUAGUAAAUGGUUCAUCUCUGGACACCAAAUGACUGAAACAGAGGGAUGGCAACCCGGAGUAACUACACUGGAGGCUACGAAUUAUUGAGCUCUCUACUCAAAACCAUGUAUUGAAUUAGUGUCUUUUUUUUAAAAUUUUGAUGGGUUUCUCUCCCUCUUCUUUGGUUUGAUAGAAUUCAUGGCCUUUAUAGUGAAAACCCUAUAAAAUUUCAGGGAAGAACGAUGGAAGAUUACGUUUUCAUGCCUGCAAAUGAGGAGAGGAUUAGGGAAAAGAAAAGACAGAACAAUGGAUUGAGGAGGAGGUUUUGGCAUUUGGGAUGAGAAAGACAGAGAGGAGGAGGGUGGGGCGUGCGAGAUGAGGAAGAGAGAAUGCUGGAGCAGGAAAAAGACCCUACGAAUAGAGAGAGAGAGUGAGUGAGAUUUGACCUAAAACAACCGAGAAGAGUGAUUGCCAGAGGUGCUGGCAUGAGAGAGAGGAACGGCACACGAUGAGAGAGAUAAGUGUUUGCAGUUGUUUUGGUGGGGUUUGUGAUCGAAGGUUUCUAUGGGGUUCUAAAGAGAGAGGUUACACACCCAUUAAAAAACCUCUACUGUAAAAAAAUGAUAGUUUCUCCCCGAAUUUUACUGUUUUGGGAAACAACGACGAUGACGA